AACGAACGCUGGCGGCAUGCCUAACACAUGCAAGUCGAACGAGACCUUCGGGUCUAGUGGCGCACGGGUGCGUAACGCGUGGGAACCUGCCCUUAGGUUCGGAAUACUCCUCGAAAGGGGUGCAAAUACCGGAUAAUGUCUUCGGACCAAAGAUUUAUCGCCUUUGGAUGGGCCCGCGUUGGAUUAGCUAGUUGGUAGGGUAAAAGCCUACCAAGGCGACGAUCCAUAGCUGGUCUGAGAGGAUGAUCAGCCACACUGGGACUGAGACACGGCCCGGACUCUUACGGGAGGCAGGAGUGCGGAAUAUAGGAAUGUGGGCGGAAGCCUGAUCCAGCACUGCCGCGUGAGUGAUGAAGGCCUUAGGGUUGUAAAGCUCUUUUACCCGGGAUGAUAAUGACGGUACCGGGAGAAUAAGCUCCGGCUAACUCCGUG
rnacentral:rRNA from 1 species